AAUAAGAAUGAAACUGAGCUCUAAGCAGCACGUAACCUGGCCUGCAUCCAGGAAAUAGAGGACUUCGGAUCCUUCUAACCCUACCACCCAACUGGCCCCAGUACGUUCAUUCUCUCAGGAAAAAAAAACAAGGUCCCCACAGCAAAGAAAAGGGAAUAGGAUCAAGAGAUACGUGGCUGCUGGCAGAGCAAGCAUGAAUUCGAUGACUUCAGCAGUUCCAGUGGCCAAUUCUGUGUUGGUGGUGGCACCCCACAAUGGUUAUCCUGUGACCCCAGGAAUUAUGUCUCAGGUGCCCCUGUAUCCAAACAGCCAGCCGCAAGUCCACCUAGUUCCUGGGAACCCACCUAGUUUGGUGUCGAAUGUGAAUGGGCAGCCUGUGCAGAAAGCUCUGAAAGAAGGCAAAACCUUGGGGGCCAUCCAGAUCAUCAUUGGCCUGGCUCACAUCGGCCUCGGCUCCAUCAUGGCGACGGUUCUCGUAGGGGAAUACCUGUCUAUUUCAUUCUACGGAGGCUUUCCCUUCUGGGGAGGCUUGUGGUUUAUCAUUUCAGGAUCUCUCUCCGUGGCAGCAGAAAAUCAGCCAUAUUCUUAUUGCCUGCUGUCUGGCAGUUUGGGCUUGAACAUCGUCAGUGCAAUCUGCUCUGCAGUUGGAGUCAUACUCUUCAUCACAGAUCUAAGUAUUCCCCACCCAUAUGCCUACCCCAACUAUUAUCCUUACGCCUGGGGUGUGGUGAGUAUCCCUCUCAACCAAAGAUCCUCUAAGUUCUGAAUUAGCUACAUUUACAAAACUCCCAGAAAGGGCUUGACAACCAAGCUACCUCACUGAACAUGGUAGGAAAAGGAGGUGCUUUCAGCAUAGGAACAAAUUUUAAAGUCCUUGACCCAUAGCUUUAAGCACAUGACCUUUCUCAGUUUGGGUUUCUGCCUUUGUAGAACAAUACCUACCUUGUGGCAAUGUUGAGAGAAUUAAAUGCAAUUUUACAAAGAAUGCAUAUGUGCCCACCAACCAGCGCCUCUCCUCACAUUCUCUGCCUUCUUGCCCAUUACUAUAAGCCACAGGUUAGCAAACUUAUUCUCUAAAGAGCCAAUAGUAAGCAGUUAAGGUUUUGCAGGCCUACAGUCUCUGUCAUGUAGCUAUAACUGCCUUACAGCAGCCACAGAAAACACU
rnacentral:sRNA from 1 species